GACGAACGCUGGCGGCGUGCCUAAUACAUGCAAGUCGAACGAACCGCGACUGAGUGCUUGCACUUGGUCAAGGUGAGUGGCGAACGGGUGAGUAACACGUGGGUAACCUACCUCAUAGUGGGGGAUAACAGUCGGAAACGACUGCUAAUACCGCAUAGGACAUGGAAUCACAUGAUUCUGUGAGGAAAGGUGGCGCAAGCUAUCGCUAAGAGAUGGACCCGCGGUGCAUUAGCUAGUUGGUAGGGUAAGGGCCUACCAAGGCGAUGAUGCAUAGCCGACCUGAGAGGGUGAUCGGCCACAUUGGGACUGAGACACGGCCCAAACUCCUACGGGAGGCAGCAGUAGGGAAUCUUCCGCAAUGGACGCAAGUCUGACGGAGCAACGCCGCGUGAGUGAAGAAGGCCUUCGGAUCGUAAAGCUCUGUUGUUAGAGAAGAACAGCGCAUAGAGUAACUGUUAUGCGUGUGACGGUAUCUAACCAGAAAGCCACGGCUAACUACGUG
rnacentral:rRNA from 1 species